GUGCGCAUUGUGUGUGUUGCAUGUGUGCAUUGUGCGUGCAUUGCGUGUGUGUUGCAUGUGUGCAUUGUGCCUGAUAUGUCUGGAGCUUAUUUAAAGAGCUGGAAUUAGGAACUGUUCAGGAUUAGGAACUGUCCCCUGAUGUGGCCUCGCCCAAUCCAAGGCCUUCAGAGCUUCCCUCUCAGUGGCUGGAGCAGCUCGGGCACCCCAGGCCUCUGUCACCAGGUGGGAUGGGCCCAGGAUCUCCCAGAGAUAAUGCGGCAGGAGAGCGCAGGGCACUGGGCAGGUGGCGCGGCCCUGUCAGGGACAAAGGGCCCCUCCCCCACACCAGCUCUCCAGCCCACCUGACCCGAUGCUGGAGCAGGAUCCGAGAUGAGAUCGGCAUUCGCAGGAUUCCUCCCCGAGGCUGCGGGAAAAACCGUCACAGUCACAAAUGGGAACAAACAACCCAAACUUACAAAACUGAGAAAAACAAACUCGAGGAAAGAGACAUCUUCAUCUCAAUAGUAGUGAACCAACAGCAGAGAACACAGAAUAGUUCAGAAUGAAAAAUAUUUUUAACUCAGGACCAUUUAUCGAACAAGAUAAGCUUUUCAGUUUGAAGAUGAAACAAAAAUUGCCAAACAUGUCGAAUAGCAAACUCAGGUCACCACUGAGGGAAAAAUUGUGUGCAGAUGUAUCAGGCACCAAGCAAGAGCAAGUCUGCAAAAAACAAUGUGCGGUUUAGGAAACUAGGGUGAGCAAAGAAAUUAGUAAAACUCAUCUUUACACAUAAAAAAUCUUCGGGUAAUAACAAGUUAAUACUGAUAGAAACAUAUGAAUAUCAUUCAAGAUGGUUUUAACAUGAAUGUUUACUGUGUAAGAGAGGUCUUUUUUUUAAUCUCAUACACGAAGAAGAAAUUUAUUAAAUUUAGGCAUUCACAGGAAAACCAAAGCUUAAACAACACAAUUUAAAAUGUGUUUAAAAUGGGCAAUUUAAAAUUUGCCCAAGUUAAUUAAAUAUGCUAAAGUUUUAAGAAGAACUGACAUCAUAAAAUAAGGCAACAAAAAAUAAGCCUGGAGAUAUCCACAAGCAGUAAUGGUGGUGAACCGGUUAAACUCAACUGUUUCAAGAAAGUCCAAGAGUAGGAAAACAUCCCCCUACGUUCUGUUGAGUGAGUUAGUUUAUUACAUCGCUGUGUAAUAACCCCCCGCCCAAAAACUCAGUGGCUUGAAACAAUAGACGUGUUAUGCCACGGCACAGGUUUGCAGAGCCGGGAGUCACAGCGUGGCUGAGCCGAGCCGUCUGGUUCCGUCCCUCCCCGCUCUGCUGAAGGUGUCUUCGUGCCCAGACAUGGCGGGGAAGGCCCCACGUUCUGGGGCACUCGGCAGCUGAGGGCAGAACCCAGGUCCUCGUGUGGUGUGGCGGGACUGAGGGUCUAGCUCCUCUCGGGCCGUUGGCUGGAACACUCUGGGUUCUCCACUGAGCAGCCCUCGAGAGGCAGCGGGCUCCGUGGGAGGGCGUGCCCGGAGAGCCCCCCAGAGUGAGCGAGACCCCCGAGUGCCACACGGUCUCCUCACCGCCCACUCGUGGCCAUGGCCGUCCAUCACAUUUGUCCGAUUCUGUCCCUUAGAAGGGAGUCACCCGGUAUGACCCACACACCAGGACUUGGUCACCAGACAGUGGACCUCAUUCCUAUAUGUGGAAGGAGCUGCCUACAACAGGUGACUCGCGAAUAGGACGCAAGAAAAAGAAAACAAUCUAGCAGCAAAGGAGAAUAAGGCCGUCAAAGUAAGUAGAAUCCCAGCCAAGAGUGAUUAAAAGGGACUAAUAUGUUUUAUUAUUACACAGCAAGUUGCAUGCAUGGAAGUAAGAAUCUAGCAAGCAGGUAUAAGUAAACAACAUUUAUUCAUCUAACAAUAAAAUUCUGAGGCAGAUAAAGCAAAGGCUCAUUAGAAACACAAAGAGAAAAAUCUGAACAUUCUUGCUCAGAUCAAGUAUCCCCUGACAAGUGAGGACACACUUGGGAUUUGAAUAGCAAGCCUGAUCCUGGUACAGUUCUUGGUAUGUGUGUACAAGGAGCGGAGAGUAUAUAUUCUUUUGAAACAUGAAACAAUUUAAAAAUUUCAUAUGAAUUAAAGAAGUCCUUAAGAAUAAGUGCCACUCCCUGAUAAAAAUCACACACAUCAGCAAUGAAAGAAAAGCUCAAAACUUGGAAAUUUAAAAAGAGUCUAUCAACUAUUUAACUCUAGUAGCUCAUAGCUUAAAAAGGAAAGAAAAGUUAAAAAAAGAAUUCAUUGAGUAUAGGAAUGCUAAGAAAAAAAUGACUCUCAGACAUUCCUGGUGGGGCUGUGAAUUGCUGGACUUUUGACAAGCAAUCUGGAAACCGUUUGGCCCAAAAACCUGACUCCUGGUGAUCUAUGGCAAGUAAUAAGAAUCACCGAUACCUAAGAGAUUUUCUAAAGGACAUAGAUAUUUACAUUGCUUGACGUGGCUCAGCAUUAGAAACGAGGUGCGUGGCCACGGACAAAAUCGGAGAAGAGAGGCUGGCCCUGGCCGGGCGUGGCGAGUGCCCGGGGUCCACGUGCCCCGUGGUGAGCAGCGUCCGUGAAUCAGCGGGUCCACGGCAAGGAAGAAAGAGGAAAGAAAGGGCCCUCCCUCCCCGUGCGCGUCCAUGCGUGGACACCUGCUCCACUGGCAACGUGGGAGGCCGGAGGAGGGGCUUGGAAUUCCGUGGUUAGAGAAUUUUCCAGAAGGAUGUCAACCUAAGUAAGGUCUUGUCUGGGAAGAGUAGGGUUUCUCUUGAAUGUUGAUCUCAAAACCAAUGCAACACUGUGCUAGAAUGUUUGAGAAAACACUAAGAAGCAGGUAAGAUGAAAAAGAGGAAAAUUAGAUUGAUGAUUGUACCGUCAUUUCGUCCUGUUCCUGAAGCUCCCGCCCGCUUUCCCUCCCUCCCUCCCUCCCUUCAAUCCUCUCUUUCUUUCCUGUUAUUUUCUUUUUCGCCUCAGUUCCCUGGGCGUGGAAGAACAUCUUAGCCUCUCAUGGCAGACUCUGGUCCCCCCACGUCACUCGCUGUGUGUGCACUUACCUCUGUCACCGUGGGAGCACUGCUCGGAUUCAUCUCCCGUACGCUGAGAAGGAGGUGAGACGGCAGUAGGAGCGGAAGGUUUGCAUCCAGGAGGAAUUCUGCAGCAGGACAGAUCAAGACCAACAGGACCCGGGGAAGGAAGGCCCCAAACUAUGACAAGGGGGCUGCUGGGCUUGUGUGUCUGAUGACAAGGCCUCAGGCGGCUUUGGUCACUCCAUGCUAAGUUGGCUGGUGGCGCAGGUGACACCUGGGCCACUGGGAGCCCUGGGGUCCCAGGGCCAUGGCAGUGAGUGCAGGUGCGUCAGUGCCCACCCUCAGGGACCUGCCCCAGGGUGAGUGGCUGCCUGUGCCCCCGAGUCCCUCAGGUCCCCCCGAAAACUCCACAAGGCCCUGGGUAGGCAGGAGUCCCUGGUGCGUUGCCAUGGAAAUCCUGGAUGCUCUUGGUUCUCUGGUACCUCCCUGUCCACCUGGGGUGAGCAUGACUUAUAAGGAAUAUUCUGCUUCACUUCAAGAAGUCCCACAACCUCAUCCUGGUCCUCCAAACAGCGGGAGGAGCUGAAAAAGAGCUCAUGCAGACACGGGGGGUCUCUCUACCCGAGACCAGAGCUCUCCAACACAGCGACGGCAGGGCUGAGUGUCAGGGAGUAUUUGGACAGAAACACUGGGGUCAGUCUGGGGGCAGUCUGCCCAGCAAAGCAGUCCUGCCCCAGUACAGUGCUAUUUUGGGUUAUUUAGGGAAAAAAAUUACGUGUAAAAUACAUUUGCAUUUUCAUUGAGUCUAUCCUGCCCCAAAUCCAUUUUAGCAUGUGGUUAAAUUAAUUAUGGGAUUCCGUUCAUUUCCUUUCCUUUCUUUAAGUUUCUAGCCUCAGAAAUCAUUAACUGCUCAUUUGAAAUACAAUUUAAGAAAUAGAAAUUAUCCAUUAUGCUGGAUUAUACAUGUCUCUCCCAAAACGUUCUGGUAAGAGAAUGCAUUAUAAUAUAAUAACUUAAUCUCCAAAUGCUAGUAUCUCAAUGUUCGGAGGUAGGUAAAUAAGAAUUUGGAUGAAUUAAACUUAAUCUCCGAAUGCUAGUAGCUCAAUGUUCUGAGGCAGGUAAGCAAGAGUUUAAAUGAGAGUAAGUUGUUCCAGUGACCUACAGUCACCCUCCUGGGGAAGGCAAGUGAGGGACACUCUGGGGGGACCUGUGUCCCUGGGGCUGGUGGGAGCCGGUGGGCUGUUCACCCUGAAGCCGUGUGGUUGGUGUGUCACUCUCACCCCCUGCCCCUUGCACCUUGCACCCUGGAGCUGCGGGCUGGGUCGGGGCUGGGUGGGGACCGUCGGGCCCCGCAGUCCCUGCGCAGGGACCAGGUCUGCCCGCAGCAGUGCAGUAUGAUAAACAGUGCUAGUUACCCCGGGUAACGGGGCAAAGCUCAUGCGAAAUAAUAAAAAAGAUAAAGGCUGAGUCUUCAUGUGGUUCCUUUCCCCCUCUCUGUCCAGCCAAGGCCCAGAACCUUCCGUGCACCGAAGCCGUCCUGCCUGCAGCAUCCUUCCACCCAGGGGCCCAGCAGCACGUCGUCCCCCAGAGCUCUGGUCUGCAGUGGUGCCCGAGGCCACGUGCUGAGCCCUGAGAGUCCUCCGAGGGCGCCUGGGAGCCGGUCAGGAACACAGCUGCAGGUGCAGUCGGGUUGAGACGACGUCAUCAGCACUGGCCUGGGUCCUCACAAGAAGACACAGAGGCACCGGGAGCAGGCCACUGCGACAGGCUCGGAGGUCGGAGGGGUCCAGCUGCAAGCCGAGGAGUGCCGGGAGCGAGGACAGAGUCUACCCGGAGUUUCGGAGAAGGGGGUUGGGAUUUCUGGCCUCCAGAGCUGUGAGGAAGUCAAUUUCCGCCAUUUUCUGCCCCCCCCCCCCAUGAGUGGUCCAGCCCUAGCUGGUCGUUUGUCCGUGGCCGGGUGGAAAAUUACAUACACAGCUUUUAAAAAUGCCCAAAGGGAGUUCUGCUUAUCUUCGAUGAUGUCAAAGACCUUUCUGAAUAAAGGCCAAAUCAUUCUGACCUCCGCCCUGCACUCCCCUGCAUUUGUGCAACGCCACGCGACUCGGUUUCUCCUCGUCUCCCUUUGGGGAGGAGGCAAAACUUGAGAGAAGCUUUCUUUGUGCAGAGCUGGUUCUCCUCGAGUCGUGCGGGCCCCCGCCCUGCACGGGAUCCUGGAAGAUGCUCCCGCACCUCGUGCCUGCAGGCGGCACGGACAGGCUGGGCGGGCGGCUCCCGCUCCCGCGCUGCAGCCGCCGUCCCCAGCCCGGCUGUCCCUCCCGGCAGACCCCAUCCGGGGACGAAGGUGGCGCCCACAGCCCUCCCGAGGCAGCGCUGGAGGUGACUGCCCCGGCACGGCUCUUGGCUGUGCAGGCUUUCACUAUCUGCAUAUUUCUUUCACCUCUUAAAUGGAAUCCAAUUUGAGGCUAUUAAUAUUAAUGCGCUGAGAUAAUUCUGAUGAUGAAUUAAUAAAACACUUGGCCUCUCCAUGUGCUGUUUGCUCAUACAUUUAAUGACGCUCUUAACCGGAAAGGGGAAGAGGCUGGAGCCUGGAAGCUCCACCUGGAGCCUGGAAAGGCGAAACCACUUCAUUGUUUUGAGCGUGCUGCUUUAAUGACGAUCGAUAGAAUCGAUCAGGGAGUAGGAAAGUAUUUACUCCAUCUGGGCCGCUGUUUGGAUGGCUCAGGCACCAUCUGAACACAGUGUCUCGGCGAGGUCCUGCAUUGGCUGAUGCAUGCUCAUGCUAACUGGAUUUUUCGUGCCCACCUGGUUUUGACACCUCACAAUGACGCUGUACCCUAACAGCAGCACUGGAUGGUCCCCUCACAGGGCAGGGACGGUGGCACUGCCAGAAAUCCACAAUGUCAUCUCAGUGGCAGACCUGGAUUGACUCGCAGAGCAGACAUUACCCUUGGCCCACGCGCCUCCGAAGACAAUUCCAGGCUGGUGGUCGUUUUAUUGUUCGGAUGAAGAUAAUUUACCAUUCACACUCCGCUGGAUUAGCUAUUGAAAAGACAAUUUAGCUCCAAUUAGCUAGAUUUAGUAUUAAACUUAAACUAAUGCACUUUCACUUCGACAGUCAUUCAGCAAAUCUUUGUUAAAGUCCUCCAAUUAGGCCAUUUUCUCAGUUGAUUAAGAACAACAUCAACAAUCUAUUGUUCCUGGAACACCUCCCAAACACAGACGCGUCCCUCUCCCGUAUGCAUCCCAGCGUUCUGCGCUGUCAGGAAGAGAUGAUUGCCCAUCUUAUCAGGAAUGAAAAUUCAAGGUCUUGCAUAGAAGCCGUCAAUGUAAAAUCAACUCACAAAAGGAAUUAAAAGAAACGGGCCAAAUCCAGACUGGAAUGAGUCUUAAAAACGGAACACCCCGUGCUGAAGUGUUAGCGAGAGAGGGACACAUCCGCCGGUCUGUUCUUCGACUUGCGAAAUAGACAUUUUUAAAAGCCCAUUUAAAUUUUUAGGAGAACCAGCAGGAUGAGACAAAAUCUAUUUAGAGCUGGCUGUUCACUCCAUUUACGAGGCCUUCAUCGCAUCUAUUCUAUUAAAUGGGAGUGAGCUGCCGCAUGAGGGCAUGCCGCAGGGGUGUGCGUGCCUCCCCGUGUUCAAAGAGCAUCUGCUCCAGCCUCAGAAGGCCUGCUUGGUUUUCCUCUGCGGCGAGAUGAAAGGGAGUGAGUUUUCAUCACUGGUGACUGCGCGGGUUUGGGAGAGUGAGCAGGAACGGUGCCUGGGACCGGCACUCCGGGAGCGGUGAGCAGUGCGUGCGCCUUCCCGCCGGGAGGACCUGCAGGGGACGGUUUCUGGCGCGCGACAGCCGCAGCCCAGCAGCCAUCUGCAAUGGUGACUUGGAGCGGCCCCCUCCCGUGAGAACUGCAACCUUAACAAAGCUAGCGUCACAGAAAAUAUACUUUUGAGAAUGUGUUCAUGGUAAAUGCUUCAAAUGUCACCUAAGCCAGGAAAUAGCUGCACACACACGUGUGUGCACACACAUGACUAUGUGCAGUGUAUGUGUGUCUGCGUGUGCCUUAUAUACUUUCACGUAUAUAAGGUGUAUAUAUGCUACAUUAUAUAUGCCUUUGCAAUCAGGAAAUGCAAUUACAAUGCUGUAUGUGUUUGUUAGUCAUGUAACCUCUGCAAACCAUGCUUUGAAUUAUUGUAAUACGGCACUUUUCUGUCUCCUUACAAAUUUAGCCAUACCAAAAGAUUAGAAAACCACACACGAUGUGAAACAGUAAAAAAAAAAUGUAUACAUCAGUAGUGUAAAACAUGCACAUAUCAGGCAGGAUCUGAGCUGCGAAGCGCACAGGAAUCUCGCCUGUUUACAGAGCCAUCACGGGGCGGCUCCCACACGCCGGUCACGCCUCGCUCUAAAUCACCAGCCCACAUUUCUCACCUGCAAACAGCCGAGGCUGGCAACGUCAGUCGGUUUUCCAUUGCUCGUUCUAAUUAUUUCCACCCCAUGCAGAGCAUUUAGGAAAUUGAAAUAUAACAGUAGUGACAUGUGCAGACUUUGUGGUCAGUGUCUGGUUUGCAAACAAAAGCACAAGAGCCGAGCACAAUCGGACUCUGCCCCGCAGGCCUCACUCAGCAGUGACUGGCGGAUUCAAAGAAACAGUCCUGCAGGCCAGUUGGGGAACCGAAUGAACUGCUUUGGGGUGAAAUUCGGGAUCCCGUGGAACAGCGUCACCAGGAACCUGACACACGCACGCACACACACGCACGCACGCACACACACACACACACACACACACACACACACUACGCACAGUCCAGUUGCUGCAUCUCGCGCUGAAGGUGCCCCCAGCGCCGUGGGGUUAGCUGGCUCCAGCCGGCCGCCCCGAUGGCGGCUCACGGAUGGCCCUCCGUCAUCCCCUGAGUGCUGGGCCCCUCUUCCAAUAACAGCUCCGUUUCCCACGGAGCCUUAAAUACGUGGAUACAUAAAUGAAAUGUGAUGAAGUAAAAUAAAAGUAUUUUUUUCAGCCGUC